UUAAGUGAUAAUUGCCUAGGAGAUACACCUGUUCUCAUGCCGAACACAGAAGUUAAGCCCUAGAACGCCGGAAGUAGUUGGGGGU
rnacentral:rRNA from 1 species